AGCAUCUGCUAUCUGUUAUGUAGUACUUGGUGGCGAAUGUCUACCACAAACCAUACAUUGAUUGCAUCUCAUCUUAAACAUAGCAAAGUCAUUUGCGUACCUUCCUGAACGUGAAAACUGGGACAAAACUUAUAGGUCCAGUCCCCACAUCUCCCUUCAUGCAAUACUCAUAAUAUUAAACAGUUUCAUCUCCAAUUUUAAAUUAAGUUGAAACCAUAACAGAAUAAUCUAUUCGGGCAAAAGAGAAACUUUGAA
rnacentral:misc_RNA from 1 species